rnacentral:piRNA from 1 species
UUGGUGGUUAGAUGCCAAAAUGGCUUCUCAUA